AUAGAUUACUCAAUUGAUGA
rnacentral:siRNA from 1 species